CUACUGACAAUUAAAGUUGUCAGAGUAAGGCAGAGUAGAUGUAUGUUUGUAUAAAAAUAUGCGAAACGCAAUCUUCAGAAUAAAGUAUUGUAUAAGACAUCUGAGAUCUGUAAGUAUUGUAUCGUAAUUAUCUGAAAUGGCUUUUCUGUUGAUUUACUUUCUGAAACGUGGAAAAGGAAAUGUAAGAUCGUUAAUAGUUAAUAAGUAUAUAAAGUGCUUGACAAGAUA